UGGGGAAUAUUGCACAAUGGGGGAAACCCUGAUGCAGCGACGCCGCGUGAGCGAAGAAGGCUUUCGAGUCGUAAAGCUCUGUCCUAUGAGAAGAUAAUGACGGUAUCAUAGGAGGAAGCCCUGGCUAAAUACGUGCCAGCAGCCGCGGUAAUACGUAUGGGGCGAGCGUUGUCCGGAAUUAUUGGGCAUAAAGGGUACGUAGGUGGUUUUUUAAGUCAGGUGUCAAAGCGUGGAGCUUAACUCCAUUAAGCACUUGAAACUGAAAGACUUGAGUGAAGGAGAGGAAAGUGGAAUUCCUAGUGUAGCGGUGAAAUGCGUAGAUAUUAGGAGGAAUACCGGUGGCGAAGGCGACUUUCUGGACUUUUACUGACGCUCAGGUACGAAAGCGUGGGGAGCAAACAGG
rnacentral:rRNA from 1 species